GACGAACGCUGGCGGCGUGCUUAACACAUGCAAGUCGAACGGAAAGGCCCUGCUUUUGUGGGGUGCUCGAGUGGCGAGCGGGUGAGUAACACGUGAGUAACCUGCCCUUGACUUUGGGAUAACUUCAGGAAACUGGGGCUAAUACCGGAUAGGAGCUCCUGCUGCAUGGUGGGGGUGGGAAAGUUUCGGCGGUUGGGGAUGGACUCGCGGCUUAUCAGCUUGUUGGUGGGGUAGUGGCUUACCAAGGCUUUGACGGGUAGCCGGCCUGAGAGGGUGACCGGCCACAUUGGGACUGAGAUACGGACCAGACUCCUACGGGAGGCAGCAGUGGGGAAUAUUGCACAAUGGGCGGAAGCCUGAUGCAGCAACGCCGCGUGCGGGAUGACGGCCUUCGGGUUGUAAACCGCUUUCGCCUGUGACGAAGCGUGAGUGACGGUAAUGGGUAAAGAAGCACCGGCUAACUACGUG
rnacentral:rRNA from 1 species